rnacentral:rRNA from 1 species
AACGAACGCUGGCGGCAUGCCUAACACAUGCAAGUCGAACGAGACCUUCGGGUCUAGUGGCGCACGGGUGCGUAACGCGUGGGAACCUGCCCUUAGGUUCGGAAUAACUCCCCGAAAGGGGUGCUAAUACCGGAUAAUGUCUUCGGACCAAAGAUCUCUCGCCUUUGGAUGGGCCCGCGUUGGAUUAGCUAGUUGGUAGGGUAAAAGCCUACCAAGGCGACGAUCCAUAGCUGGUCUGAGAGGAUGAUCAGCCACACUGGGACUGAGACACGGCCCAGACUCCUACGGGAGGCAGCAGUGGGGAAUAUUGUACGAUGGGCGAAAGCCUGAUCCAGCAAUGCCGCGUGAGUGAUGAAUGCCUUAGGGUUGUAAUGCUCUUUUACCCGGGAUGAUAAUGACAGUACCGGGAGAAUAAGCACCGGCUAACUACGUG